UUGCAGUCUCUGGCUCUCACCACAAGACUACACUGCCUCUUUUCCUCUCCAGUGACUCUUGCAUUUUCCUUUCUUCUUGUGCUUUCUCCUCACCCCAAUGAGCUCUAAGAGGAGGGAGCUAAUAAUACAGUUUAAGAAGGAGAGAUGGGACAGGCUUCUCUGUGCAGAUAAAGUGAGCGCUGUCUGGACAUCGGUGGGAAGAUUAGCUGUCUGGACUUCAGAAUCUGCCAUGGACCCCAGGCAGGUAGGCACUCUACAAACACUGAGGAACAGCCCAUCACCAACUCUCUCAGGACAGCUUAUUUCGUUCAGAGGCUGGUUUGAAUUCUAUCAAUAAAAGUGCUCCAUUGCUAAUGUAAGCUAUAUCUACAUUAGGAGGGUGUGUUGGCAUAGUUAUAGCAAUAAACCCUUUCUGCGUAGACA
rnacentral:lncRNA from 1 species